UACAGAGGUCUCAAGCGUUGUUCGGAAUUACUGGGCGUAAAGGGCGCGUCGGCGGCCUGCUAAGUCGGAUGUGAAAUCCCUCGGCUCAACCAAGGAACUGCAUCCGAUACUGGCGGGCUUGAAUCCGGGAGAGGGAUGUGGAAUUCCAGGUGUAGCGGUGAAAUGCGUAGAUAUCUGGAGGAACACCGGUGGCGAAGGCGGCAUCCUGGACCGGUACUGACGCUGAGACGCGAAAGCGUGGGUAGCAAACAGG
rnacentral:rRNA from 1 species